GCCAGCAUGAUGCAAUGGUUUGGACAUUGGACUAUGACUUGGGAGACCUGGGUUCAAAUCCCUGCUUAGGCA